rnacentral:tRNA from 1 species
AGUUUUAUAGUUUAUUAAAACAUUAAAUUGCAAAUUUAAAAAUAGAAUAAUAAUUCUUAAAACUU